rnacentral:rRNA from 1 species
UACGUAGGGGGCAAGCGUUGUCCGGAUUUAUUGGGCGUAAAGAGCGUGUAGGCGGCCAGACAGGUCCGUUGUGAAAACUAGAGGCUUAACCUCUAGACGUCGAUGGAAACCGUCUGGCUAGAGUCCGGAAGAGGAGAAUGGAAUCCCUGGUGUAGCGGUGAAAUGCGCAGAUAUCAGGAAGAACACCCGUGGCUAAGGCGGUUCUCUAGUACGGUACUGACGCUGAGACGCGAAAGCGUGGGGAGCGAACAGG